GUUACACUCCUUUCUCAUACCAUUUAAAUGUCAUUGACAAACUACAUAUAAAAUAUCUCUGUUCUUUGGCCUAUCAGCUGCAUGCUCUAAAAUAAUUGCGUGGCUGAGAUAUCAUUAUUUUGAUUUUUUUAUCAGUUACACUUUCAAAUUUAAAUAGCACUAUAGUACAUAGUACAUACAAAACAAAACUGAAAUUGAAAAUUUCACAAUAAGACAAAUAUGAAACACUU
rnacentral:lncRNA from 1 species